CUACGGGGCGCAGCAGUGAGGAAUAUUGGACAAUGGGGGCAACCCUGAUCCAGCAACGCCGCGUGAGCGAUGACGCUGCUCUGCAGUGUAAAGCUCUGUUGAGAGGAAAGAAUCUGCGGGUAUUGCCCGCACUGACGGUACCUCUCGAGGAAGCACCGGCUAACUCCGUGGCCAGCAGCCGCGGUAAUACGGGGGGUGCAAGCGUUGUCCGGAUUUAUUGGGCGUAAAGGGCUCGUAGGCGGGACAGCAAGUCAGGCGUGGAAAUCUUUCGGCUUAACCGGAAGCGUGCGCUUGAAACUGCUGUUCUUGAGUGGCAGAGAGGAAGAUGGAAUUCCUGGUGUAGCGGUGGAAUGCGUAGAUAUCAGGAAGAACACCCAUAGCGAAGGCAAUCUUCUGGCUGCAUACUGACGCUAAGGCGUGAAAGCGUGGGGAGCAAACAGGAUUAGAUACCCUCGUAGUC
rnacentral:rRNA from 1 species